AUGACACAUUGGACUUUGCUAGAGUCCGGCCCGUCACAUCAUAGGACUCUGACACCUUCGACCCACUCACACCCCUCUCGGUCCUAUUCUCUUCCCACACUUCCCCUGCUUCCCCUUACUCUGCAUCCGCGCCCUUCUCCUUCGACGUUGUUGUUGUACCUUUCCGACCGCCUUCCAGGCAUUGUCAGACGUCCGGAUCCAUCACCCACGCACCCGCUCGCCUUGCACGACGACGACAUCCACCCAGGAUCCGUUCGGAGCCAGGCUCGAGUGCAAGGGGCGGGGCCCUUUUGGCAUCACGUGCGUGGUAGGUUUCACGCAUGGAAUCACAUUGCGCCCUACAACAUGCACAUCAUCCAUGAACACAAUAUGAAGUCGUUAGCAUAUCGAUGGUACACCUUCUUGAACACCGUCCUCAUGUUUUGUAGAGCGGUUUGUCGGCAGGAGAAGGUGACAACUGUGUUGAGCGGCUGCACAAACCAGGAAAGCAUACGAGAACUCUAUAUAAACACCAACAAACCAAUGGAACUCUUGGCAGUGAAGGCGCACACAAGGAAGAAGAACAAACACAAUAGUCCAGUGCCUCUUCUCGUCAUGGCCCUCGUCAACCGGAACAACAAGAGGAGGACCAUGGCUAUUGCUGUCCUAGUCCUUGUAAUGAUUUCUGCUUGUACCUUACCGUCCUGCCAUGCAAAGCGUGGUGACGCAUAUUGUGUCGAUAUUCCACAAGGACAUUUGUUGGGCAAAGAAUUAGGGGCGGAGAGAAAGACAUCCGGUCUCCUCCACCUCACAUCGCCGCCGCCAUCAGCCAGCCUCGUCUCCAGUGGCUUUAGGGCCAUGGAGGCACGGUGGAUCCUGACCCUUGCCGACUGUCCCGACAAUAUCAAGGCAUCAUGCACGCUGGCCAUUCUUUGUGAGGAACUCGCUGAGACAGUCAACGCCAAGGCCAUUCUGACACGCCGACGAUGCCUCCCUUCUCAUCGUGGGUAUGAGCUCCCUCCACGACCAAAUUGUGCCAUCAUGUCACUGGGGACAGAUGAUGAUGUGACACAGAAGCUGCUCAACUACAAGUAUAUACACAAUUUCUGGCAGCAGCAAAUGAGAAUAAUCAUUGGUUCACGUCACCACCACUGCCAGAAAGGAUGGCGAGUGCACCACUUCAUAGUGCCGACGAGGAAGGGGUGCCGACGAAGUUCAAACUGCCAGGGCAAGCGAAUGCACCUGGAAUGGGGCUGCAUCCUGGCAGUUAUUGAGGGGACGAGGUGA
rnacentral:rRNA from 1 species